rnacentral:rRNA from 1 species
GAGUUUGAUCAUGGCUUCAGAUUGGAACGCUGGCGGCAUGCCUUACACAUGCAAGUCGAACGGCAGCACGGGAGCUUGCUCCUGGUGGCGAGUGGCGAACGGGUGAGUAAUGCAUCGGAACGUAUCCUGGAGUGGGGGAUAACGUAGCGAAAGUUACGCUAAUACCGCAUAUUCUGUGAGCAGGAAAGCGGGGGACCUUCGGGCCUCGCGCUACGUUGGAGCGGCC